rnacentral:rRNA from 1 species
UACGUAGGCAGCAAGCGUUGUUCGGAGUUACUGGGCGUAAAGGGUGUGUAGGCGGUUGUUUAAGUUUGGUGUGAAAUCUCCCGGCUCAACUGGGAGGGUGCGCCGAAUACUGAAUGACUAGAGUGCGGGAGAGGAAAGUGGAAUUCCUGGUGUAGCGGUGAAAUGCGUAGAUAUCAGGAGGAAUACCGGUGGUGUAGACGGCUUUCUGGACCGUAACUGACGCUGAGACACGAAAGCGUGGGUAGCAAACAGG